AUUUACCAGGUGGUCGCUUGGUGUCCUCCGUUGCAAUUGUUGCGUAAUCUCCAGCUGCAGUACUUUUCCAUUUGCUACUGAGGAGAAACCCAACUGCCACGAAGGAUUUAUCAUCGAAUAGAUAUGUGAAAAACACCUUGAGGAUGAUUCUAAACAACGUUUGCCAUGUUUCUGUCGAUAUUAUGGAGUUAAUUUGGAAAAAAGUUUGGCAUUGUAGUGAAUGAAUUUUCGUUGUUUGUUUUCUUAGCCAAAAGUGAUGAACAAAACGGAGCGAUUUCUCCUACACAAAUAAUCUUUUUGGAAAAAAUGAACAUUUGCUAUCUAACUGAGAGUCUCCUCAUUGAAAACAUCCGAAGUUCUUCAAAGCCAAGCAGGAUGAACAAACGUGACGUUUUUCGCCUACAAAAAUAUUAUUUUUGGAAAAAAGGAACAUUUGCUAUUUAACUGGGAGUCUCCUGAGUGAAAGCAUCUGAAGUUCUUCAAAGCAUGGGGCAUACUUCAAGCCAGCAUACUGAUGACUUGAGCCUCAUAUGACAUUGGCCCUAUAAACCAUCCAAAGUAAAAGAACAUUGAAACUUUUCAAAUCACCAAUUAACCAAUAUGGAAAGGAAAUGUUGGUGUAUUACCUCCUGGGACGUUCCAUUUUAUCUGUU
ensembl:lncRNA